rnacentral:ncRNA from 1 species
CACUGCCUGUUGCUCCUAUCAAUUGAAUGGUCUUGUAAAUUGUUCGAUUUACGGCGAUGUGGGUGGUUCGAUGCUCACGACAUUGUGAUAAGUCCACUGAACCUUAUCAUUUAGAGGAAUGAGAAGUCGUAACAAGGUUUUCGUAGGUGAACCUACAGAAG